GAUGAACGCUAGCGACAGGCCUAACACAUGCAAGUCGAGGGGCAGCAUGGUAUCAGCUUGCUGAUACCGAUGGCGACCGGCGCACGGGUGAGUAACGCGUAUGUAAUCUGCCUGUAACAGAGGGAUAACCCGGAGAAAUCCGGCCUAAUACCUCAUAGCACAUAUUAUUCGCAUGAGUUUUAUGUUAAAGAGACUCGGUUACAGAUGAACAUGCGUUCCAUUAGCUGGUUGGCGGGGUAACGGCCCACCAAGGCAACGAUGGAUAGGGGUUCUGAGAGGAAGGUCCCCCANACUGGUACUGAGACACGGACCAGACGUCCUACGGGGAGGCAGCAGUGAGGAACUAUUGGGUCAAUGGGCGAGAGCCUGAACCAGCCAAGUCGCGUGGAGGAAGACGGGCCCU
rnacentral:rRNA from 1 species